rnacentral:lncRNA from 1 species
AGAGCAGGCAGGAAGAGAGAAAAGGUGAGACCUUUAGUGCGUGCCCUCCCUGGUUCUCUGAGAUCGAGUGUCUUCUUCUUCCUCUGGUUGCUUCUUCUUCUUCAUCCUCUUCCUCCCCCCCCCCCUCUCUUCUUCAUUGGAUCCCGCUUCUCGGAGCCCCUUUCUGUAGAGAUCUUCCCCGUCUCAUCUGCUCCAGAGAGGUAGAAGGUCUGGUGGCGUGUGUUCUCUUUCCUUUCUGCUCAGAUUUCUAGGAAGGCGGGGGGAGCCCCGGGUUCGCGCUUUGCUUGGUUUUUUUUUGUCCGCUCUGGUGGAUUUUUCCCGGUUUUCGUUCGUCGAUCGCUCUCGAGGGCUUGUUUUUCCGGAUCCCUCAGGGUCGUCGCCCGCCGGUUCUUUGAUUUUGUUUUAGAACUUGGCGAGGUUCGAUCGAUCGACGAACACUUUUUAAACUUUUUUUUUGUGUGUUUCCCUGGUCUAUAAAGAUCUCAUCGAGGGAGCGCUCUUGUUCAUCUUCUUCCUCCUCUGGAUCUUCAUCUUCAUCUGUGUGAUUUUCUUACCAUAACUGGAAGGGAAAUGGCAGCAGCUAUAGACAUGUAUAAUAGCAGCCGGCCGCCGUCCUUCUCCUCGGAUGACCCCUUCAGGGAGGAGCUCAUGAAGGCCCUGGAGCCCUUCAUCCCCGCGGGUCCUUCUCCCUCCAUUGCCGCCACCUCACCUCCCUGCGCCUCUGCGUCUCCUUCUCGGCCCUCUUCCUUCUCUCCCCUCUCCUGUUCUGCUCUCCCUUCCCCUUCCUGCCCAUCCUUCUACCCCUGCUUCUCCUCCGCUUCGCACUCCUUCUCUUCCUCCCAGAUGCUCCCCCCCGGGGAGUGCUCCUUCCUCUCCCAGCUCCU